CCUACGGGAGGCAGCAGUGGGGAAUAUUGGACAAUGGGCGAAAGCCUGAUCCAGCCAUGCCGCGUGUGUGAAGAAGGCCUUCGGGUUGUAAAGCACUUUCAGUGGGGAAGAAAGCCUUGGGGCUAAUACCCUCGAGGAAGGACAUCACCCACAGAAGAAGCACCGGCUAACUCCGUGCCAGCAGCCGCGGUAAUACGGAGGGUGCGAGCGUUAAUCGGAAUUACUGGGCGUAAAGCACGCGUAGGCGGUCUGAUAAGCCGGUUGUGAAAGCCCCGGGCUCAACCUGGGAACGGCAUCCGGAACUGUCAGGCUAGAGUGCAGGAGAGGAAGGUAGAAUUCCCGGUGUAGCGGUGAAAUGCGUAGAGAUCGGGAGGAAUACCAGUGGCGAAGGCGGCCUUCUGGACUGACACUGACGCUGAGGUGCGAAAGCGUGGGUAGCAAACAGGAUUAGAUUACCCCAGUAGUC
rnacentral:rRNA from 1 species